GGCCGGUUAGCUCAGUCAGUUGAGCUUGGUGCUGAUAACACCAAGAUUGCGAGUUCAAUUCCCAUUCGGUCC
rnacentral:tRNA from 1 species